AGCGAACGCUGGCGGCAGGCUUAACACAUGCAAGUCGAGCGGGCCCUUCGGGGUCAGCCGCGGACGGGUGAGUAACCCGUGGGAACGUGCCCUCUGGGCUGGAAUAACCCUGGGAGACUAGGGCUAAUACCGGAUACGCCCUCUUGGGGAUAGGCUUGCUGCCGGAGGAUCGGCCCGCGUCUGAUUAGCUAGUUGGUGGGGUAACGGCCUACCAAGGCGACGAGCAGUAGCUGGGCUGAGAGGAGGAUCAGCCACACGGGGACUGAGACACGGCCCAGACUCCUACGGGAGGCAGGAGUGGGGAAUAUUGGACAAUGGGCGCAAGCCUGAUCCAGCCAUGCCGCGUGAGUGAUGAAGGCCUUAGGGUUGUAAAGCUCCUUUAUCCGGGGCGAUAAUGACGGUACCGGAGGAAUAAGCCCCGGCUAACUUCGUGCCAGCCGCCGCCGUAA
rnacentral:rRNA from 1 species